GGAAUGAACAGUAGGUUUUACGGUGGUUGGGCCUGAUUGGGCCUUUUGGCGGUGCCAUCCAUCCUCGUCACCAAACGGAACACGCGUACGGUGACAAGGAUGUAACCUUUCAAACACUCACACUUCCCAGAAUCAAUAUGAUAGAGAGAACCCUAGGAGAGAGGAGCUUUGUUAGAGAGAGAGACAAAGAUAAGAGAUGAGAGGGAGAACCAUGGUGGUGUUUUUGAUUAAUGGUGUUGAUGGUGGUGGUUCCGACUAAGGGGUGUGGUGGUUGUCGACGGUGAGCAGUGGUGGUGGUGGAUGUAGUCGGCGACGGUGACGACGGUUAGGGUUUCACAUGUGUCGGUUGCGAGUUAGUGGUCACCGGUGAGUACCUAGAGAGAAGUUUUGAUGAUGCUGCCUGUUAUGGAAGGAGUUUGAUUGUUCAUAGAGAUGGAUCUGAUACACUAUGAACAAAGAAAUGAGGCGAUUUAAGAGGGGAUGGUUUCUUAGGGUGGUUGCCCUUCUCAAUCAAGUCCGCUUUUGACUUAAUUCAAGUCAGCCAUCCUUCUUUGACGCCCAUGAUUCUCUUCAUUCACCAAUAACCCUUCAUCUGAUACACACAUGUUGAAGAUGGAAAUAAUAUCCAUUUUGAAAGAGGCUAUGAUGAUGAGUUUCAAUGCGUCUGAGUUAAUUCUAGCAAAUGUGAGAUUUUCCGCAUCUUGGCGGGGUAACCAAAUGGUUAUGUGAUUCAUCUCUGUUUUCACAUGGCAAUCUGUAAGUAUGCAGCCAUGGCGGAUUUAUCCUCUUUGCUCGAUUGUUUACACAUCUGAGCCUCAUAAUCAUGGCAGAUAAAAAUCAUGGAUUAAGUUCCAGAUUAUCAUAUGCUGUCUCUUGAAGAUGAAAAUAUGAUCCAUUUUGAAAGGGGCUAUGAUGAGUUUCAAUGCUCCUGAGUGAAUAUGAGCAAAGAUGAGAUUUUGCACCAUCUUGCCGGGGCAACCGGUCCAGUCAUGUGAAAAACUGAAAGUCUGAUUUGACAUGGUAACCGGUAAGUAUGCAGCCAUGACUGAUGUAUCCUCUUUGUUCAACUGUUUACAGAUCUGAACCUCAUAUUUGUUCUCUCUCAUUUUCUUUACAAUUUUUUAUGUUUUAUGUAUUCGUAUUCGUAUUUCAGUUGUGGUUAAAAAAAGUUUUAUCACUCAUUGUUUACAAGCUUGAUGAGUUUGUUAGCUACUAACCAACGCCGCGAGGAUGAUGAUUGAAGACAACUGACUAGAGACACUACUGGAGAUAAAAUUUCUUUUGUGCAUUUUUAUGUGUAUUCGUUUUUAUGGUAAGAUGUUGUUUACUUAUAUUAACAUGUCUUGAAGAGGUGUAAAUUGACGAAACAAUAGAAUACGAAACAUAUAACAUUAAAAAGUUUACCUUAAAUUCACGGUAAGCAGUAAAGAGUUAUGGGACUGACAUGUUUUUUCUUUAAUUUAACCAUUGAUGUGUAUUUUCAAGUCCAGAUUCAGAUUGCAAAAUAGCCACUAAACUGUCUAUUGAAUAGGUACAUAUUACAUAUGCGUAUGCUUCUUUUUGCUAUAGAGUACGAUUUGAGCACCUGUGUUAUCUAUAAUUGAGAUUUAUUUACGUUGUUCACACUUUUUUCAACGUCUAUGCAGAUUUUAAUUUUUAUUUGCAUUUGGUGGAAUUGAAUGCAGCCCAUGAACUCAGAAUUCAGCCUUUACGCUCUAUGGUAUAGGUUUGUGAUUUGGUAAAUGAACUUUUUUGAAGGAUUUGAGAGCCGACAGAAACGGAAUACUCUAACUCAAGACGGGAAUGAACAAAAGGAGAUGGUCACCAGACGGAAUGAAGUUGUGGGCUUAGCGGCUAAAUCACGCACUCGGAAACAGGUAUGGGUUGAAAGUUGAAACCAAUAGAAUUGAGGACCUGUCGUAUCCACAUAACAUAAUAUGUAAGGGUGAAGAUGGGGUCUCUAAGAUGUCUAUUUGGUCACUGAACCAUACACAAAAGCAUAUGGACCACCAUAAUGUGCUCCACUAGAUGGAUGUUCGACUAACACACCUGAAUGGAACGAAUUAAGGUAACGAAGAUUUUGUUUGGCGACUUUUAAAUCGAUAUUAGAAGUCUACAUGUGACAGAAAACAUGUUAUUGGAGAAAUCAACAUGGUUUUUCUUUUAGAUAACAUAGAUUUCAUGUAUAAUUUUUUUAUAUGAAUGGAAGUUUUGAAAAUUUGAUCUAAUAAAAGAUAAUAGAUGGGAGUUCUAGAGAAUUUGCAAUGUAACGAGAAGAGUUGUAGAUUAAGAUAGACUAAUUAUCUUAUCUAUGAUGGCUGGGAUUAAAGCGAUCAACGUUCACAUUACACGAGGAAGAGAUCAUAAUGGCUCGAUAUAUUUUUUUAGAUUCAUGGCAUUAUUUAGUAAAUCUGUGAUCUCCUCCUGAUGUUUUUUUUCCGCUACAUCCUAUUAUGUUGUCAAACCAAGAACGAAUUGGUUUAGCGUGCCGCAAUGCGCGCGGGGUGUACAACUAGUUAUAUUAAAACCGUUAAAAAAGUGAGAGAGAUCCAAAAAACUAAAUUUGAGAAAACACCAGAAUGUAACAUAUAUCCUUAAAGAUUUUGCAUUUAAUUUAAUAAUAAUAAUGGCCAGAAUGUAACAUAUCUCCUUAAAGAUUUUUCAUUUAAUAAUAAUAAUAUAAAUGAACAAUACUAAAAAGUUUAUACGGCUUAUCAAUAGUAAAAUAAAUAACAAUAUCAUCAUCAUCAUUAAUAAUAUAAGUAAAUAAGUACACGACAAUAAAUAAUAAUAUUCACAAUAAUAGAGAUAUAGAUAAAUAUUAUAUAUUAAUAAUAUUAGUUAGAUAUAUUUAAUCUAUAUCAAUGUAACUAAUAUUAUUAUUAAAUUAAAUGAGAGAGUGCCACGUGCCAUUAUUUGUAGUCUUUUAUUAGAAUUUAGAUACUUUGGCCACUUUUUCAGCGGACCAAUUUUAAUACGUAUUUAUCCCUUCCGUGAAAUUUAAAUAAAAAUAUACUUUUAUUUUCAUGAAAAAAACUAGUGGUCAAGAAUGAACGACUAGAUCAUUCUACUUUACAUUAGACCGGCGUUCUAUUGAUUAGAAAAACAAUUUCUUAGGACAUAUAUAAUGUACAUACCAAAAAAUAAAAUAAAAAAAUACAUAUUGUAUGAUAACCCUAAUAUGUAACUAAAAGAAAUAAGCAAAUAAACGUAUUAGAUUAAAACUCCACUCAUAGAGUAGUAUGAGUAGGGAACCCCUAUUUUUAGUAUAAAAAUACAACAUAAGUAACAUAAUAAAGUAUAUAAGUAAGCAAAAUAUUCUUUCAUACACACAUUAAAAAAGGAAAAAUAUAUCUUUUUUUUUAUUUCAUAAUCUAUCUAUACAUAUAAUAAAAGAAAUCACAUAUGGGACACGUGUCCUUCAGUUAUGCAAUUGGUUUUUGUUUUUGGCGCACAAAUUGAAGCUUCCUUUUUCCCAGACGAAUACCCGUUUUCUUGGCCCAUUACACAAAACCCAUAUUCCAUUCAUCUAUUCUCAUCCAAAACCCUAGAUAACUUUUCCUCUCUCAUUCAUCCAUCUGCCACCUCCUAACUUCUCCUCUCAAAUCUCUAAUGUUAUCGAUGGAUUCAACACCAUAUCCGGCGCUGCGUAUCCUCCAAACCCACCAUGGCCACCGCUGCGCAUCCUCCAAACGCCACCAUGGCCGCCGCUGCACAUCCUCCAAACCCUAGAUCUGAUACCAGAGCACUCUAGAUAGUUGCUUUGGACCUGGGCUUAUGGUUCAAAGAAUGUUAUUUUUGUUUCAGUUGCUCCGGAGCCUGGGAUUAUGGUUCAAAGAAUAAUUGAGAUGACUUUUGUAGGUCAAAUUGGCUAUAACAUAGGCAAGACCAAGAAACACGAUUGGAGUAAAUAAACAAUAAAUAAAAGCCAAAUCGAAGAAACUCAAGUUUUGCUAUGCGAUUAAAGACACCAUAAUUUCAAACUCAAGUUUAGCAGUAUUUGACAGUUUUUUCUGUGCGUUACGCAAUUUUUGUGUUGGGUUCGGGUUUCCAGCAACAACUCUUCAUUCAUUUAUACUUUGUAUGUAGACUAACAUGUGUUGCUUUAUAUGUGUAGUUAAUGUUUCAGAUCUAGAAUGUCACCUGCCUAUGAUUUGUUAAUCUAGCCGAACAGGAGAGCCAGGGUUGACUCGAGGUGGAUCCUAAUACAACGAGGUUAACUUUACAAGUUGUAAGUGUUGAAGUUGACAAUAUACGCGCACUGAAGGUGAGAUUGUAUACUUUCAUAUGGGAAGGGGAUGCAGCAACAACUGAGCUGAGAUAAGACUCUCAAAUCAUAGACCCGUUAUAUGUUAGAAGUUGAAGCGUUUUCAUUAAAAAAGUUACAACGGGCCAUUUCCUGAUGCGGAAAUGGAAAACUAUUGCUCGACGUGUUUAAGAUAAAACAAGUCAGCAUUUUUUAUAUGCAUCCGUAUUAGGAUUGUAGUUUCACUUUGUCAUUAGACUUAUGUAAUAUGUAUAUUAUGCACGUUUAAUUUUAGUUUCAAUAAGACCAUUAAACAUUCAAAGUAUUGUUAUGUGUUAAA